AAAAAAAAACAAAUGGGCUAUAUCAAACUAAAAAGCUUUUGUACGACUAAAGAAAGUAACCACAAAGCUAAAAGGCCACCUACUGAAUGGGAAAAUAUAUCUACAAACAAUACAUAUGAUAAGGGGGUCAAUAUCCAAAAUAUACAAAGAAGUCAUAUAAUUCAACUUAAAAAAAAAAGAAAAACCAAAAAACUCAAUUUAAAAAUGGACGGGGAGUUCCCGUCGUGGCGCAGUGGUUAAGGAAUCCGACUAGGAACCAUGAGAUACCACCUCACAUUUUUCAGAAAAGCUAUCACCAAAAAGACUAGAAAAUAACAAGUGUUGAAGAAGAGGUAGAGAAAAGGGAACCCUUAUACAUUGUAGGUAGGAAUGUAAAUUGGUGCAGCCAUUAUGCAUGAAGGUGCUUCAAAAAAUUAAAAUUACAAAUACCAUAUGCUCCAGCAAUUUUACUUCUGGAUAUUUUUUCCUAAGACGAAAGCACUAAUUCAAAACAAUACAUGCAUCCCAAUGUUCAUUGCAGUAUUAUUUACAAUAGUCAAGAUAUGGAAGCAACCUAAAUGUUCAUCAAUAGAUGAAUGGAUAAAGAAGAUGUGAGAUAUAUACAUACAUAUAACACACACACACAUACUCACAUACAGACAUACAUAUAUACAGAAGGCAAACUGAUGGCUUCCAGAGGGGAGGAAGACAAGGGUAUCAGUAAAAUAGGUUAGAGAGAUUAAGAGGUACAAACAUUCAUUCAUAAAGUAAAUAAAUCAUAGGCAUAUAAUGUAAUAGAGAACCUAAUCAAUAAUAUUGUAAAAACUUGGUAUGGUGACAGACAGUAACUAAUCAAGGUGAACACCUUACAAUGUAUAUAAACAUUGCAUCACUAUGUUGUACACCUGAAAACAAUAUAAGUCAAUUAUACUUCAAUUAAAAAAAGGAUUAAGAUUACAAACAAAUCUUUGGAUUUAAUUUUUGAAGAUCAUUUAAAGACUUCAGUGAGAGGAAUUUCAGUAAGGUAUUAGAGUUGGAAAUCACAUCGUAACAAGUUUAUGUAAACAUUGGAAAGUUAAGUAAAUGAAAGCAAUGGACAUUAAACAAAAUUUUGCUAAGGUCCAGGGCCACAACAAAAAAUAUAGUAGAGCAACAGCAAGAGUGGAUUAAUCCAGAAACUUCUCUGAGAUCACCAGUACUAUUUAUUAAAAUUAUUUUGUGGAAUAAUUUGUUUCUUUUCUACAGCUAGUUUAUAAUAAGGUUUGUAAUAUAUAUUUGCUACAAGUAAUACAUGUAAUCAUUUUGUACAAGCAGUGCUAUGAAACGGUUAGAACAUUUUGAAAACUGGCAUAUGGAAAGGAAAGCUGUAUUUGUUAAAGUGGUUCUUCUGGGGGGUUGUCCUGUCAUGAAGUGGUCAUCCACUUGCCACUGGAACCUAGGAGACCAAAAAGAAGCAGCAGCUUUCACUGCUCAAGACCACACAGUACCGGAUCUCUCCUACCCCAAGAUACAAACCUUCACGGCACUGUUUACCCAAAAGGAAACAUGUGUCAUUCUGCGGAGGUGAUCUGUUAUGUUUAUAAUUUCUAUGAUGUUAUAGAUACUGUCUGUAUUAAUACAGUUUCCUUUUUCCCCUCUUCUCCAUAUUCAAAGCAACACAGGUACAGCACUAGGGUUAAGGACAUAAUACAGAGCUAAUCUAAUGGCACAUCCUUUACUAACAUCAUCAAGGAGAAACAAAGCUUAGUUUAAGGGUGUUUUUUAGAAUCUCUGGAUUAAUCUUUUAGGUGAAGCCAAUGCAUCUAGAUGUUCUCAUUUAUAGAUGACAAGAAAUACAAUUAAAAUUGGGCUUGUGCAAUAAAAGAGAUUUACCAGCUGACAGACUGAAUGUUCAAAGUUGCAGGUGUGGCUUCAGUUAAAGCGCUGAUGCAGAGCUUCAGCUGAUAUAACCAGGGCUGGGUUUGUACUAUUAUUUCUCUAGUGGUAUUCUAUGGUGUUAGUUUUAACCCAUAAAAGGAAGCUGUCAGCUCUCCUUUUGUGGUAGGGAAAUUUGGAUAAAGUAAAAAGCAAUCUAUGCUAUAUCAAAUAGUGAGGGAGCUCUAAAAACACAAGAAGCCAAUAGAUCAAAUUGGCCUUCUUCCCUGUCAGACCAGAUUCUCUCCUCAGACGUCCCUUCCCAGAACCAAGCCCACAGUCUGCUCCCUGCCGGCCCCACACCACAGCCCAGCAACUUUAUAUCUGCAGUGGUUCCCAACAGCCCAUCUCUUCCCAGCCAAGUUCAGAUCCUCACGGCCUCUCACCUAAGGAGACUGCACUUAUCCCCAAACUGGGUUUUUGUCUUCUGCUUUCUCUCCCAACCCAACACACUCCAAGGCCUGCAGAUUCGGUGGCGUCUCUCCUCAAGCUACUUUCCUGAGCUCUCCACUGCUUACUAACUAAAGCAUCCAAGGUUGACCAGAAGGAUCUAAGAUUCAGUCUCUGCCUUUCGUCACACAGAUCCUGCAUACAUACUCCACACAGCCAGACUGAGAGGCCCCACACACCCUUCCCACAGCCCAGUUAUGUGCAUCUGGCCCUAAGCCUUCGGCCACUCCCUCACCUCUUAGAAGCAGCUCUUCACCCACUUGGGUCAGAAGACUGCACUUCCUGGAUCCCCACAGGCUCUAACAGCCCAGAGUCCACCUUCAUCCUGCAGGUCAUUCAAACUCCUUAGCACCCCUUCUGAGCUGUAUUCUUCUAAAAGCAACAAAAAUUUUCUCUAAGAUGGGAACUCAGGAGGCAGCCUGCAGUCAAGAAGUUUUUGUCGUUAGAAUUUUUCUUAACCACUUGAUCAAAAAACAAGCUUUCUUCUGGAAAGUAACAACAGAGUUUGUAAAAUGUGUCCUACGCUAUGAAAAUGUGUUACUCAGACUUCAAAAGAAAUGGACCAUAACCGCUCAAGUGGGGGGAAGAAAAUGAACUUCUUCGUUCAAGUGGGGGGAAGAAAGAGACUUGAAAAGAUAAAUUCUAAAAGUUCUUUUUAAGGGAUUUCCCCACUAUUAGUUAUUUUACAACCAUGGAUCAAACAGCACAGUCACACCUCACAAAUGAAAGGUGAGAUGCAUUGUAUGUUGACUUGAUAACACUGUACAAUCAAUAAAAAGGCCAAAAACCAAAAGCGCUAACCAAGAGAACGACAGAAAAGACUCAGCCACUUUUACAGCUGAGUUCAUAUUCCAAGAAUGUGCAAAACACCUUUGCCCUCAAAAAUAUUUCCAAAUCUCUACUCUGUUUCACUGAAAAGAAAAAAUUUAAGAAGAGUUUAAAUGAUGCAGAAACAGCAACCUCUUGGAAGCUCUGUUUAGACCUCACUUUAAAACUACUCUGCCUAAUCAUAUCAGUCACUGUCAGAUUUAAGCUAUCAACCUCAGUCAGUCUGGGAAAAAACGUCUUGGGGAUAAUUCGGGUGAGAAAGGGGAUGACGUGCCCUAAAAUACUUCCAAAGCAUAAAAUUUAAAGCACAAGGGCUCCAGAAAGAAGGCUGACCUGGAGCCACACAAGCUGCUAGAGAAAUGUUCUGAUCACCUGCAUUCAUUGACCAAAGGACAGCUCCCUGACUAAAGACCAUAAAAAACAAACAACAAUAACAACAACAACAACAACAAAACAACUUCAGGAUGCAAACGAUUUUGAUUUUGAGCUGUAGGCAUCCUGAGUUGCAAACUCCAUGAGAAAAGUGGACACGGUGGUGCACUGUCCCACCACCCAGUGGCACUCAAUUUCAAACAGCGGCAAACGCUAAGUGUAUAUGUGUUGGCUGGAGGGGAGUGGAGCAGGGGGGUGCUGGACUGAUCUGCUGGCCUCCUUUAUAACCACAGUUCUUGCCCAACACUUUCAUUUUUAGAAGCAUAAUUAAAUACUGGGAUCCCGGGAGUCUUACUGCGCAGCUUUGGGUAAGGUUUCAAUGCCCCCAUGCCUUAGUUUCCCCACCCAUAAAGAGCAGAAUCUCCUCCAUCUCAUGGAUUUCUUUAAAGAAAAUAAAUUCUCAGACCUGUGUUUCUGGCUGUGCAGGGGCUACCUACCCUAACAUUUAUUUUCCUCUUCCUCAUCAGUUCCAAAGGGCUACCGUGCUAUGUUUUUAAAGUGAAUUUUAAGAAUGUUACCCAUUAAAAAGGAUUCCUCUGAAAUACUGUUGUUUGGUAUUUGUGUUCAAUAAAAUCAAAAGCAUGAUUUGUGUGGAUAGGGGUUGAGUAAAAAAGAUUUCCUUUCUCAAUUCAUGGGGCAAUUUAGCUUUAAUUCUCAAACAUACAAAAUAUCCAUUAAAGUAACUAAUAUGUCAUUUCUUAAAUAAAAAGUACCGCCAUGACCAAGGUAUGAUAAAACAAAAAACAAAAAACCAAAAAAAAACCGAAAAACCAACUUCACCUUACUUCUUCCCACUUGGGUUUCUAAAAUACUAGGCUAGUGGUGACGUAUAAUUUCCUAGAACACUUAGAAAAUACCCUCUGAAAAACAUUUGUCCUUAAUGAAACAGAAAGAAGUGACUUACGGAAAUUAAAAUAGAACUCACGUUAAAAACACAAGAGGGAGGGUAGCCCAAAAACAAACAAAAAAAAAGCUUGUUUCCACCACGAAUAAACUUCCACAAAACGCCAGCUUGUCUCAAGUUCAUUCUCAGAAGGAAGAACGUGGUUCAGUUUCACUAUUAAAAGACUGGUUUUUCACUCUUCAAAAAAAGGAAAUAGAACACAGAGAACUAGGAGACUUUAGCUCUUUAUAUUUGACAAUCUAGACGCAAAAAACUGUGGCUAUCAUAGAUUUUUAAGAACAGUUGAAUAUAUUUCUUUACCUUCUUUUUCUUUUUUUGUUUUUUUUUUGGGUUUUUUUCUUUUCUUUUUUCUUUUUUUUUUCUUUUUCUUUUUUUUCCCCUUGGCUGCACCUGUGGCAUG
rnacentral:lncRNA from 1 species